rnacentral:rRNA from 1 species
UAGGGAAUCUUCCGCAAUGGACGAAAGUCUGACGGAGCAACGCCGCGUGAGCGAAGAAGGCCUUCGGGUCGUAAAGCUCUGUUGUAAGGGAAGAACAAGUGCCAUUUAACUGAUGGCACCUUGACGGUACCUUGCGAGAAAGCCACGGCUAACUACGUGCCAGCAGCCGCGGUAAUACGUAGGUGGCAAGCGUUGUCCGGAUUUAUUGGGCGUAAAGCGCGCGCAGGCGGUCCUUUAAGUCUGAUGUGAAAGCCCACGGCUCAACCGUGGAGGGUCAUUGGAAACUGGGGGACUUGAGUGCAGAAGAGGAAAGCGGAAUUCCACGUGUAACGGUGAAAUGCGUAGAGAUGUGGAGGAACACCAGUGGCGAAGGCGGCUUUCUGGUCUGUAACUGAAGCUGAGGCGCGAAAGCGUGGGGAGCAAACAGG